CGCGUAGGUGGUAGUGCAAGUCUGAGGUGGAAUCCCAGGGCUUAACCCUGGAACUGCCUUGGAAACUGCACUACUUGAGUCAGUGAGGGGAGGGUAGAAUUCCUGGUGUAGCGGCGAAAUGCGUAGAUAUCAGGAGGAAGGCCGGUGGCGAAGGCGGCCCUCUGGCGCUGAACUGACACUGAGGCGCGAAAGCGUGGGUAGCAAACAGGAUUAGAUACCCUGGUAGUCCACGCCCUAAACGGUGGGUACUAGGUGUAGGGCUCGUAAGGGUUCUGUGCCGAAGCGAAAGCAUUAAGUACCCCGCCUGGGGAGUACGGCCGCAAGGUUGAA
rnacentral:rRNA from 1 species